CGGACCCUCUGUCUCUAAAUAAUGGAGAGAUUAAGCUCCACCUUGGGAUCUGCUUGUUCCUACUGAAAUCGAUGGAAGUUCUCCUUCACAGCUGAUUGCAGUGGGGAAAAAUGGAUCCAGCUUCUGCACAAUAAUGACAGGAAGGGGAAUGGAGUGUUGGUGAUGACACAAGGAGAGAGAAGAAAUAAAUCCCACUGGGGCAGUGUGGACAGAAGUGCCUGUUUGCUCUGGAAAGAAUUGGAAGAAGAAGAAAAGAAGUGGAUUGCUGAGGUACAUUAAUAGUACAAGAACUGCAAAAUGGCUGAAAACAGGGGGAUGAUAUUUAUAAAGCAGUCUAGUUUUGAAAAGAUCAAAGGCAGAGGGAGAGAAAUAAAGCAUUGGAUGUGUCU